rnacentral:rRNA from 1 species
CCUACGGGGGGCAGCAGUGGGGAAUUUUGGACAAUGGGCGCAAGCCUGAUCCAGCUAUUCCGCGUGUGGGAAGACGGCCUUCGGGUUGUAAACCACUUUUGUAGAGAACGAAAAGUCUAUUGAUAAUACCGAUAGAUGAUGACGGUACUCUAAGAAUAAGCACCGGCUAACUACGUGCCAGCAGCCGCGGUAAUACGUAGGGUGCGAGCGGUAAUCGGAAUUACUGGGCGUAAAGGGUGUGCAAGCGGUUUUGGAAGAUGAAUGUGAAAGCCCCGGGCUUAACCUGGGAAAGCCAUACAUUACUGCAAGACUAGAGUGCGUCAGAGGGAGGUGGAAUUCCAAGUGUAGCAGUGAAAUGCGUAGAUAUUUGGCAGAACACCGAUGGCGAAGGCAGCCCCCUGGGACGCAACUGACGCUCAUACACGAAAGCGUGGGGAGCAAACAGGAUUAGAUACCCUUGUAGUC